AUCCUUGAUCAGGACGUCUGACCAUUUCUGGUGGGCAGUUUUACUGGGGCGGUAGCCUCCCAAAAGGUAACGGAGGCGUACAAAGGUUAUUUCAGAUUGGACAGAAAUCUCUCUCCGAGUGCAAAGGCAUAAAAUAGCUUGAUUGCGAGACUUACAAGUCAAGCAGGGACGAAAGUCGGUCUUAGUGAUCCGACGAUUCCGCGUGGAAGGGUCGUCGCUCAACGGAUAAAAGUUACUCUAGGGAUAAC
rnacentral:rRNA from 1 species